UCUGUGCCUUACCUCGGAGUAGUCAAUUAUCAAAGCGCCCCAAAGAUCAUCAAUCACGAGGCAAGCUUGAAAGUUUAGAGGAGGAGCAAUGACUGGGCCAUCGAUUGCAAUACUGCUGGCCCUUUUCCCUAAUGCCAAGCGCUUUUUUGAGCUCAAAACCCAAAGAGGUCAUCCAUCCCUUUUUAAUAUUUAGCCACAUCAGUGACAAUAGCCUACACACCGCCGCGCGCGUGACAUCAUCGCCUUAUUGAUAGGGGCUUUUGCAUCUAAGCGGCUACAUUUAAAGCUCCGUGACCUGUUUUGUUUCUGAAUUAACAAUUUCACCGCUUAUAGAGAGACCCGCUCAUCUAGUAGUGUAGAAUGAAUUCAGCUAACAACCGUCAAAUAAAAUACCAUAAAGACGCGGCAGUUGUGUGGUUUUCAGUAUCUGUGGGACAGUUUUCAGAAUGUUUUCGGCAAAAACAAACAUGUUUGGUGAGAUAAAGAUAAGAGAAGCGCAAGGAGAAAAGUGGAAGCCGGUCGGCUGUGCGGAUUCCACACUAUAGAAGGGGGAAACUCCAGCGGCCAGCUCUCUCCCUCCACACCGUGAUCAGAGCGCUGCGACGCACACAGCGGGCAGCAUGCCGACUCCCACUCUCUCCUCACUCUCUCACACACGCCUGUCGGGCUUUUCCCGGAGAAAAAAAAUUGCAUUUCCCCCUUGGUUCUGGAAGUAUUCACACGAUCAAGCAAGGUACCCAGGUAAUUACCGUACAUUGUCAAAUAAAGGCACAAUAAAGGGACUACUGAUUCAAAUGAGGAGUGAAAUAUCAAAGAAAGGGGUUCCCUUUGCAGCCAGGCACUUAUCCACACAGGAGACAGCAACGAGACGACUGCCACAGGGACACUCACACAGCCUCUGAUAACAACAUGCUCAGACUCCUUGGUACAUAUAUCACACCACAAUAUUUUGCACACAGAAGCAUUGCACCACACUUACGUAUUCUCAGAGUCUCACUUCAGCUUGAUAACUGAAAUGUAUUUUAAUAUGAUUAAAAUGCUGUGAAUAUAGCAUUUU